UACAGAGGAUGCAAGCGUUAUCCGGAAUCAUUGGGCGUAAAGCGUACCGAUAGGUGGUUUAGAAAGUUUUGGGUAAAAGCCAGAAGCUCAACUUCUGAGUUUGCUCAAAAUACUUCUCAACUAGAGGGGCAAAGAGGUCCUUGGAACGAACGGUGUAGUAGUGAAAUGCGUUGAUAUCGUUCGGAACACCGAAAGCGAAGGCAGAGGACUGGGUGCCACCUGACACUACUAGGACGAAAGCGUGGGGAGCGAAUGGG
rnacentral:rRNA from 1 species